GUGAAUCAUCAAAUCUUUGAACGCAAAUUGCACUCUCCUCGGAGAGUAUGCCUGUUUGAGGGUCGGCCUAUAAAAAAGCGACAUCGUUGCUGUUUCGCGGUGGCUUUAGUCGGAAAGUGGGUCAUCUUAAAGCCUUUUGAUUUAAGCGACUUAAAGUUUGCUUUUGGGUCGAUGAACGGUUCUAAGAUCUAUUCCUUUACACGUUUGAGGUAUCGAUUUUUACUAUAGGUGACCAUCAAAGCGGAGCGCGU
rnacentral:misc_RNA from 1 species